UACGUAGGGUGCAAGCGUUAUCCGGAAUUAUUGGGCGUAAAGAGCUCGUAGGCGGUUUGUCGCGUCUGCUGUGAAAACUCGGGGCUUAACUCCGGGCCUGCAGUGGGUACGGGCAGACUAGAGUGCGGUAGGGGAGACUGGAAUUCCUGGUGUAGCGGUGAAAUGCGCAGAUAUCAGGAGGAACACCGGUGGCGAAGGCGGGGUCUCUGGGGCCGUAAACUGACGCUGAGGAGCGAAAGCGUGGGGGAGCGAACAGG
rnacentral:rRNA from 1 species